rnacentral:lncRNA from 1 species
CUCCUGAAUCCAAUUAAACACAACUUUUCCAUGUGGAGGUACAGCUGAGGAGAGAUGGAUGUUGCUGUUGGGCAGGGAAAAGUCACUCCAAAGUGUUUUCUGCCUGUUUUAUACAAUCCCCUCCAAAAAUCAGGAUUUUUUUUAAAUCCAGGACACACCAGCACUGACAGAUCCCUGAAAUUCCCAGUCCUGUGUCUCCCAAACAAGCAGGAAUAUCCCAAAGGAAUCUGUGCAUUUGCAGUUCUGCAUCAUCAUAAAGAUCAUCAAAUGAGGAUUAAUCAUCUUCUAACACUCAAACCAAGAUUUCCCGGAGAGGAGAGAGUGAAACUUCCCUACAUUUAUGAGGAAAAUAAAAGGAAUUACCUGACAAUCCAUUCUGGAGUUCUCCAGCAGUUUUGCCAUUUAAAGCCGUGAUUUUGUGUAUGGGAAGAUCAUAAAAUUCCAAGAUGAGAAAACCACGUUUUCUUUGGAUUGGAAUUCUUUAGGCUGUGUUGGACAACCAAAGACCAG